rnacentral:rRNA from 1 species
UGGUAGUGGGGGAUAACGUCCGGAAACGGGCGCUAAUACCGCAUACGUCCUGAGGGAGAAAGUGGGGGAUCUUCGGACCUCACGCUAUCAGAUGAGCCUAGGUCGAAUUAGCUAGUUGGUGGGGUAAAGGCCUACCAAGGCGACGAUCCGUAACUGGUCUGAGAGGAUGAUCAGUCACACUGGAACUGAGACACGGUCCAGACUCCUACGGGAGGCAGCAGUGGGGAAUAUUGGACAAUGGGCGAAAGCCUGAUCCAGCCAUGCCGCGUGUGUGAAGAAGGUCUUCGGAUUGUAAAGCACUUUAAGUUGGGAGGAAGGGCAGUAAGUUAAUACCUUGCUGUUUUGACGUUACCAACAGAAUAAGCACCGGCUAACUUCGUGCCAGCAGCCGCGGUAAUACGAAGGGUGCAAGCGUUAAUCGGAAUUACUGGGCGUAAAGCGCGCGUAGGUGGUUCAGCAAGUUGGAUGUGAAAUCCCCGGGCUCAACCUGGGAACUGCAUCCAAAACUACUGAGCUAGAGUACGGUAGAGGGUGGUGGAAUUUCCUGUGUAGCGGUGAAAUGCGUAGAUAUAGGAAGGAACACCAGUGGCGAAGGCGACCACCUGGACUGAUACUGACACUGAGGUGCGAAAGCGUGGGGAGCAAACAGGAUU